rnacentral:tRNA from 1 species
GCGUCGUUAACGCAAUAGGCAGCGCGUCAGUCUCAUAAUCAAAUCUAGAAAUCUGAAGGUCGUGAGUUCGAUCCUCACACGGGGCA